rnacentral:rRNA from 1 species
UACCAGCACCCCGAGUGGUCGGGACGAUUAUUGGGCCUAAAGCAUCCGUAGCCGGUUGUGCAAGUCCUCCGUUAAAUCCAGCCGCUCAACGGAUGGGCUGCGGAGGAUACUACAGGACUAGGAGGCGGGAGAGGCAAGCGGUACUUAGUGGGUAGGGGUAAAAUCCUUUGAUCCAUUGAAGACCACCAGUGGCGAAGGCGGCUUGCCGGAACGCGCUCGACGGUGAGGGAUGAAAGCUGGGGGAGCAAACCGG